rnacentral:rRNA from 1 species
GAUGAACGCUGGCGGCGUGCUUAACACAUGCAAGUCGAACGGUGAAGCAGGAGCUUGCUCCUGUGGAUCAGUGGCGAACGGGUGAGUAACACGUGAGCAAUCUGCCCUGGACUCUGGGAUAAGCGUUGGAAACGACGUCUAAUACCGGAUACGAGGCGUGGGGGCAUCCCCAACGCCUGGAAAGAACUUCGGUCCAGGAUGAGCUCGCGGCCUAUCAGGUAGUUGGUGAGGUAACGGCUCACCAAGCCUACGACGGGUAGCCGGCCUGAGAGGGUGACCGGCCACACUGGGACUGAGACACGGCCCAGACUCCUACGGGAGGCAGCAGUGGGGAAUAUUGCACAAUGGGCGCAAGCCUGAUGCAGCAACGCCGCGUGAGGGACGACGGCCUUCGGGUUGUAAACCUCUUUUAGCAGGGAAGAAGCGAGGUGACGGUACCUGCAGAAAAAGCACCGGCUAACUACGUGCCAGCCGCCGCCGUAAAAC